CAUUAACCUGUUUACACAACAGUUUAAGAAACACACAAAAAAAAAAAGAGAUAAUAGGAAUGUGACCAGCCCAAGGUCAGAUAGUAGUUCCAGGUGUGUCCACCCAACAAUACACUUUCACUGCCGCCUCCCUGCAUGGAAGUGUUUCGCAAGUGAAACAUGAACUGCAGACAGAAACUGUCACCAUCAGCAGUAUAAUCUCAUAAGAGGCACACAGAGGCAGAACGCAUAAGAAGGACAUAGGAGGAAAGCUAAUUGUAUCCUUUCCAGACAUGUGAAACCAAAGCGACAGGAGGACAGGACAGGUCAUGGGAAAAACACACAGGGUCCAGUUGGAAGAUAACAAAGACAGGCAACUAUACAACAGACAGGUUUCCAAGAAGGAAAGAUAAUGCUAAUUUAGGCCAUACUCGCAUGUAUAACAGCAGUGGUACUGGUGUUGGAACUGAUGGUAAUCUGUUGUGCCCUGAUGACUUCAUGGAACAGACCUUCUGCAGUUGGGAGAACCUGAAUGGCAUGCUGCAAGGGUUCAGGAGGAAGAACGCACCCCUGGGAGGAUUCCAAAGUCACAGCGAGUGGAAGUUUUCCAGUUUCUCAGGACGCUCCUCUGAUCUAGAAACUGCUAUUCACACGAUAACAAUAACCAACAGCCUACUUCAUUGGUUAAAGCAUUUAGAUAUAAUAUAGCCUAUAUAUAAGGCAACCUUAAUUAUAAUUGUUAUAGAUGUGGAAAUACAUGUACUCCCUACACUAAAUUCUACGGAUAUUAGAAGACAA